rnacentral:misc_RNA from 1 species
AAUUACCAUACCGGACUCAGCUCGCCCACUAGGUCCAUAAUGGAGGCAAAGCUUCACGACCCGGAUCCAAGACCGACCCGGACAGGCGAACCAGAGCUCGAUCUCUACACCAUCCCUAGCUANUGGUUUUCGUGGGACGAUAUCCACGAAACAGAAAGAGCCGGGUUGAGAGAGUUCUUCGAUGGAAGCUCGAUCACAAGAACCCCAAAAAUCUACAAAGAAUACAGGGACUUUAUCAUCAACAAGUACCGUGAAGAUCCUUCUAGAAGGCUUACUUUCACGGAGAUUCGCAAGUCACUGGUCGGCGACGUUACGUUGCUCCACAAGGUGUUUCAAUUCCUGGACAAGUGGGGAUUGAUAAACUUCGGUGCGAUUUCGACUCGCUACGAUGAUUUGGAGAGGGAGGAAACGGGUAAGUUUAGGGUUGAGGACGGUCCUCCGAAUGGCGUGCGGGUUGUGGCUAUGCCGAAUUCUCUGAAGCCGCUCUCGGUGCCGCAAGGUGCGGCAGGUAAUGCGGAUAUUGAUGAGAAUGGAUUGAAAUUGCCGCCGUUAACUUCCUAUUCGAAUGUGUUUGGUGAGCUGAGGAAGCAAAAGGGGCUUCUGUGUGGCAAUUGUAGUGAAAGUUGUGAUUCAGGG